GUGUCAGCCGCCGCGGUAAUACGUAGGGUGCAAGCGUUAAUCGGAAUUACUGGGCGUAAAGCGUGCGCAGGCGGUCCGUUAAGACAGAUGUGAAAUCCCCGGGCUUAACCUGGGAACUGCAUUUGUGACUGGCGGACUCGAGUAUGGCAGAGGGGGGUAGAAUUCCACGUGUAGCAGUGAAAUGCGUAGAGAUGUGGAGGAAUACCGAUGGCGAAGGCAGCCCCCUGGGCCAAUACUGACGCUCAUGCACGAAAGCGUGGGGAGCAAACAGGAUUAGAAACCCCUGUAGUCC
rnacentral:rRNA from 1 species